rnacentral:rRNA from 1 species
UACGUAGGGGGCCAGCGUUGUCCGGAUUUACUGGGUGUAAAGGGCGCGUAGGCGGGUUUGUAAGUCAGAGGUGAAAUCUCCCAGCUUAACUGGGAAACUGCCUUUGAUACUGCAAAUCUUGAGUUCAGAAGAGAGAGAUGGAAUUCCAGGUGUAGUGGUGAAAUACGUAGAUAUCUGGAAGAACACCAGUGGCGAAGGCGAUCUCUUGGUCUGAAACUGACGCUGAGGCGCGAAAGCGUGGGUAG